UCUGAAAUAGCUCAGUUGGUAGAGCGUUAGACUAUAAAUCGAAAGAUCCGGUAUUCGAUUCCGGGUUGCGAG
rnacentral:tRNA from 1 species